rnacentral:rRNA from 1 species
GUCUACAGCCAUUCCACCCUGAACACACACGAUCUCAGAAGCUAAGCAGGGUUGGGCCUGGUUAGUACUUGGAUGCGAGACUGCCUGGGAAUGCUGGGUGCUAUAUGCU